AUCUGUCUGAGCCUCAAUGUCUUCAGCCAAAAAAACAGGGACGAUGAUCUGUACCCAGCAGAGCUGGAGGGGGGAGGAGGUUUAAACAGGCCGUCUGCUAACUAGGAGGAGUUGCGCAGUGAGGUGGUCAUGCUGGUUGGGUAUACACCGCCCUCCGUCCCCUCCCAAAGCCCCCAUUCCCGGAACGACCCCCCAGCCCGGGUAUCCGUCUCACCUGGCUCAGUACACAGGUAGGAGUAAAAGCCCUCCGACUUGAGCAUGAUGAGCAGAGAGCCCCAGCCCAGGAGGACUGCCGAGAAGAGGAGGUUUUCCACCACGGCGGUGCAGGCCAUCCACCAGCGGCGCCGAUGGGCAGUGGCCAGGGUGGGCGCCAUGGCGAGGCGAGGCGAGGCGAGGCGCGGCGACCCGGCUCCGGCUCCUCUCUGCAGCCACCUGCGCGCGGACCUCGGCGUCAGCGCCCGGCCCUAUUCAGCCUGGGCGGCCAACCCGGGCCGCUGCCGCAGCGCGCGCAGCUUGUCACCCCCUCCGCAGCGCGGGAGGCAAGUGCGCGCAGCAAGGAAGCCCCAGCCCUGCCUCGGUCCUGGGCCACCCUCUCCGCCGCUGGCUCAUUCGCCAGCCCGCAGCUCCGGGAGAAGCCGCCCCGGCCAGACAGGGAGACUUCUAUCUCAGCUCACUCGGAGGGAAACUGAGGCAUAGAAACACGAAGGGACAAACGCGUGCUCAGGGACAUGGAACUAAUGCAGGCUCCUAGCAGAAUUGACGCAGCUUGGGAGCUGUCAGGAGAGGCAGCCGGAGGUUCGGAUACCUGGGCAGGGGCACACCUUACGGCUGCCACUCCCCAGGACCCUCACCAGAGCCCGCCCGCCCGCACGCACUGGAGACCCUUCCCCAGACCCGGCUCCCUUAACCACAAGAUCAGCGCACGGAGCUCCGGAACGGCCCGCCCGCGGCCCGCUUAUUGGCCUGACGGCACAGGAACUGCCACGCCAUUGGUCGCUGUCUAGGUCGCUAGGCGCUGCGGCCACGCGAGCCCCGCAUGGGCGAGGCGAAGCCGGUUCAAACCGGCGGCGCGAGCCUCCCGCGCGACCCCCGUCUGGGGCCGUUUCCUCGGCAAUUGGCUCGUUUCUAUGGAAGCGAACCCUGCUCCUCUAUCCUCUAGCUCUCUCCUGGACCUCUUCCCCGGCGGCUACUCAUCCAUUCAGUCUCUCCUCCCUUAUGCACACAUCUUCUCCCUACGCCCUUACUCCUGCGCCUUCCUCUCCCCAGCACUCAAGCUCGGGACCCGGGUCCCCAGGAUCCAGCUCACCCGGCUCCUACUGUACCCCGUCCAGGCGCUGUCUGCACAUUCCGGAUCCCCGGAGCUCUGUCCAGGCGUGGUGUGCUUCUUCCCUUCUUUCCUGAUUCACCACCCGCACUUCUGGGUGUCAUCCGUCCGGUCCCUGGAAGGUGUCCCUCGGGGAUCUCCACGUGGAAGUCGGGGGUUUGUCUGUCUCCUAAGACGUCAGUUAGGGGCCUCUCUGCAAGGUGACGAGGUGGGCAGCGCAAAACUACUAGCAGAAGUCAGGCCUCCGGGAAGACGCGUGGGGUCGGGAGAGCUCUAGGCUCCUGGUCUGAUGAGCGACCUGGACAAGCCCCCGAGGAAUUGCCAGGGCAGGGGGAUGGCGCCUGGGCUCCGGAGUUUUAGCUCCAAUUGGAGGUUCUCCCCCAUCGGAGGCACAACCCGGCGGAGGGCCCUCUUGUCUCCCGCCGAUUCAGCUUGGUCUCUCUGACACACUGUGGGAGCUGGUUUGUCACCCCAGGCGGUGAGAGCCCCAGCAGCCUAGUGCUCCUAGACCCUGAGUCCGAGUGCGCCCCCUGCCGCCAUCAACCCGCCGCUGGCAACCUUGCUCAGACCAAGCCUGACACUGUGGUCUUGGAGGAUCCUGGCUGGUUGCCUAUCUGGUGGCCCCACCCUGAAGAAUCUCACCCGCUCACUUGACAAACUUCAAUCAGUCUUUCCCUCCCUCCCUCCUAGAGCCACCUACUUGAGGGCUGUCUCUCAGGCAGCUGUUCCACACAAAUUUCUAAACUGUUUCAAACACACCUGUUAAGUAAUUCACUUUCUCCCCCCACAAAAAACUGUACCUCGAAGAUCAUAGCAUCACUGCCUACUUGAAGUUAGAUACCGUGAAACAUCAUCCUUUCAGUAUUUGUUGGUCACCGGCUGUUAUUGUCCCUCUCCAUCCCACCCCGACCCCACCCAUAGAGUCUGUAUCUCCUAAAUGUUUAUCUGAUUUGCCCAUGUGUGUCCAUAGGACAGCAGCUGCUGUUCAUCGAGGUUCCAGUCUCAGCCACUCAAAUCCAUCUCUCCACCCCCAUUCCAUCCCAGUGAUCUUUGGGAAAUGCAAAUCUAACCUUGGUAAAUCUGACCUCUGCUAAAACGCUAAAACUGGACCAUUGGCACUGCAGGAUAAAGUUCAGAUUCUCCAACCUGACCCACACAGGCUCCUCCCCCACGGUGGUUGACCUGCCUGCUCUUAGUUGCUCCAGUCACAUGGAAUUGCCUGUAGUUUCUGCAAGUGCUGUUCUCUCACCUGUGACCCUCAAACAUAGUCCCUCCUGAAACAGCAUGUCCUCCAGGAAGUCUUCCCUAACUACUCCCGGUGAUUGUCUCCAUUAUCUUUGUCCAUUGACUGUUUUGUAAUUAUCUAUUCAUCUGUUUGACUUCCAUUUUUCCCAUUGACUGUGAACUCUUUGAGGACAUGCUGCUGCUAAGUCACUUCAGUCGUGUCUGACUCUGUGCGACCCCAUAGACUGCAGCCCACCAGGCUACCCCGUCCCUAGGAUUCUCCAGGCAAGAACACUGGAGUGCCGCCAUUUCCUUCUCCCAUGCAUGAAAGUGAAAAGUGAAAGUGAAGUCGCUCAGUAGUAUCCAACUCUUAGCGACCCCAUGGACUGUACCCUACCAGGCUCCUCCAUAGCAUUUUCUAGGCAAGAGUACUAGAGUGGGGUGCCAUUGCCUUCUCUGUGAGGACAUGAGCCAUGCCUUAUUCAGCUUGCUGUAACCAGCUCUUGAUACAGAAGUAAGUACAAAAUAAAUGCACAAUAUGAGUUUGUUGAAUGAAAACAUAAAUAAAUGAGGUGAAAGGUGUCAGCUUCUAGGAAUAAAGGACUGAAAGCUGGGAGAAUGAUGUAAUGUGGAUAAUAAUGACCCUUUAUUGAGGGUCAAAAAUUUACUAGGUGCUUUACUUACUGUGUCAUUUAAUCCCUACGGUAACCCCGGAAGAUAGCCACAUGCCCAUUUUCCAGAUGAAAAAACCAGCUUUAAGUAACAAGUAUGUCAGAACUGAGAUCUGAAUCCAGGUCUAAUUUGAAUGAAAUUCUGGGGUCUUUUUUGUUUUGUUUUCUGUGGGUUUUUUUUCGGCUGUGCCUUGUGGCUUUAAAUAUUUUAGUCCCCCCAUCAGGGAUUGAACCUGGGCCAGGGCAGUUGUAAGCACCAAGUCCUAACCACUGGACCACCAGGGAAUUCCCUGGGUUUGGGUUUUUUUUCUUCCAGUCUUUUUGUCAGGAAUGUUAAAGACCCCACAUCAGCACUGCUGGCAAAUUGUAAACAAAUUAUUAUACCUAAAAUAAGCUACAAGGAUAUGUUACUCAACACUGGGAAUAUAGCCAAUAUUUUAUAAUUAUAAUUUAAAAAUUGUGAGUCACUAUAGUGUACAUGUGUAACAUAAAACAUUGUACAUCAACUAUACUUCAAUUAAAAAAUCAUAAAUAAAACCACUAAAGUACUAAAAAAAAUGUAGAGAUUAUUUUACUGAUUUUAAGGUAGAAAAGGCUUUUCCAUCUUUCCAUUACACAUGACAUUAAACCCAGAAGUCAAAAAGAAAAAGACUUGUCUACAUUUAAAAUUUUAAUUUCUGUAGGGAAAAGGAGAAAGAAACUGUAAACAGCGUUAAAAGACCAGUCACAAACUGGACAAAGAAUUAAUAUCCUUGAUAUAAAGUCACUUAUAAAUCAAUGAGGAAAAGAUGAACAUCUCAAUUGAAAAUUGGGAAAAGAAUAUAACCAAAUCAUCUAUAGAAAAAAUACUAAUAACUGAUAAAGAUAUGAAAAGAAGUUUGGUCUUAGAAUAAUCAUAGAGAUUCACUCUAAAGUUUUUCUAAUGUGGGCCAUUUUUAAAGUCUUUCUGGAGAAGGAAAUGACAACCCACUCCAGCAUUCUUGCCUAGAGAAUCCCAUGGACAGAGGAACCUGGUGGGCUACAGUCCAUGGGGUCGCAGACAGUGGGACAUGACUGAGUGACUAAAGAACAAUUGAAUCUGUUACAGUAUUGCUUCCGUUUUAUGUUUUGGCCCCAAAGCAUGUGGGAUCUUGGCUCCCCGAGCAAGGAUCAAACCCACACCCCCUGCCUUGGAAGGUGAAGUCUCAACCACUGGACCACCAGGCAAGUCCCAGAAAUUCACACUUGUUUUUGAAAUUCACAUUUUAAUGAUACUAUUUUUUUUCAUUUUUUAAGUGACUCCAUUAUAUAUAUAUAUAUAUUUUUUUUUUUUUUUUUUUUUUUUUUUUUUUGAGUCACAGAGCAAAGCAUGUGGGAUCUUAGUUCCUUAACCAAGGAUCAAACCCAUGCCCCAUGCAGUAGAAGCAUGGAGCCCUAACUACUGGGCCACCAGGAAGCUCCAUAUAUGUAUAUAUGGAGUUAUAUAUUUUUCAUUGUGGUUUAUUACAGUUAUAUCUUUCUCACUGUAGUUUAUUACAAGAUAUUGAAUAUAGUUCCCUGUGCUGUAUAAUAGGUCCUUGUUUAUUAUCUACUGGACAUGGAACAACAGACUGGUUCCAAAUAGGAAAAGGAGUACGUCAAGGCUGUAUAUUGUCACCCUGCUUAUUUAACUUAUAUGCAGAGUACAUUAUGAGAAACGCUGGGCUGGAAGAAGCACAAGCUGGAAUCAAGAUUGCUGGGAGAAAUAUCAAUAACCUCAGAUAUGCGGAUGACACCACCCUUAUGGCAGAAAGUGAAGAGGAAUUAAAAAGCCUCUUGAUGAAAGUGAAAGAGGAGAGUGAAAAAGUUGGCUUAAAACUCAACAUUCAGAAAAUGAAGAUCAUGGCAUCUGGUCCCAUCACUUCAUGGGAAAUAGAUGGGGAAACAAUGGAAACAGUGUCAGACUUUAUUUUGGGGGGGUCCCAAAAUCACUGCAGAUGGUGACUGCAGCCAUGAAAUUAAAAGACGCUUACUCCUUGGAAGGAAAGUUAUGACCAACCUAGACAGCAUGUUGAAAAGCAGAGACAUUACUUUGCCAACAAAGGUCCGUCUAGUCAAGGCUUUGGUUUUUCCAGUAGUCAUGUAUGGAUGUGAGAAUUGGACUGUGAAGAAGGCUGAGCGCCGAAGAAUUGAUGCUUUUGAACUGUGGUGUUGGAGAAGACUCCUGAAAGCCCCUUGGACUGCAAGGAGAUCCAACCAGUCCAUUCUAAAGGAGAUCAGUUUGGGGUGUUCUUUGGAAGGACUGAUGCUAAAGCUGAAACUCCAAUACUUUGGCCAUCUCAUGUGAAGAGUUAACUCAUUGGAAGACACUCUGAUGCUGGGAGGGAUUGGGGGCAGGAGGAGAAGGGGACGACAGAGGAUGAGAUGGCUGGAUGGCAUCACCGACUUGAUGCACAUGAGUUUGGGUGAACUCCAGGAGUUGGUGAUGGACAGGGAGGCCUGACAUGCUGCAGUUCAUGGGGUCGCAAAGAGUCGGCCACGACUGAGUGACUGAGCUGAACUGAAUAUUUUAUAUAUGUUAAUCCCAUACUCCUAAUUUAUUCCUCCCUCCCUCUCCUUUGGUAACCAUAAUUUUGUUUUUUAUGUCUGUGAGUCUAUUUCUGUUUAGUAGGUAAGUUCAUUUGUAUCGUUUUUUUAGAUUCCACAUAUAAAGCGAUCUCAUGUAUUUGUCUCUUACUUAGUAUGAUGCUCUCUGGGUCCAUCCAUGUUGCUGCAAAUGGCAACACUUCCUUCUUUCUUAUGGCUGAGUAGUAUUUCAUUGUGUAUGUAGAGAUAUCUUUAUCCAUUCAUCUGUUGAUGGAUACUUAUGUUGCUUCCAUGCCCUGGAUAUUAUAAAUAGUGCUGCUAUGAACAUUGGCUGCAUGAAUGAUAAUGGUUUUUAUAUCAUUCAUAUCAAAAUAUCAUUUUUUUGAGAUUAAAAACCUCGAACAAAAACCUUAUCUGGGGAAUUCCCUGGUGGUUCCGUGUUUAGGACUGUGUGCUUUCACAGGUUCAGUCCCUGGUUGGGGAACUAACCCACAAGCUGCAUGGCAUGGCCAAAAGAAAAAACCUCACAAAAACAAAACACUUAUCUGUACAAAGAGUUUGACUUUUUAAGAAGCUUUAACAUGUUAUUGCUUUAGAGAUUUUUUUGUGUGUGCUAAAAUAAUAAUGAGAUGCCACCUCUAACCUAUCAGAUUGGGUGUGGGGAAACAUACCAAUAUAAUUUAUGAGAACACAAAGCCAUUCUUUUUGGGGGGCCAUUUGGAGUAAAUACUCAAAUGUUUAAUAUUCUUACCCCAUAACUCAGCAAUUCCACUUCUAGGAAUCUCUUCUAUAAAAAAAGUAGCACUAAUACAGAGAGAAAUGCAGAUCGAGUUGGCUACUCAAUCAUUUAUUGGAUCAAAAUAAUUAGAAACAACCCACAUCCCCAUAGGUAGGGGAUGGCUUAAACAAUCUGUGUUAUUUCCCCAUGGUGGAAUCCCAGUUUUUAUAAAAAGAGGUAGUUUUAUAUCAACUAACAUCAAAAGAUAGCCAGGAUACAUUGUUAAGUAAAACUAACAAACUAGCAAACUGCAGAAUGAGACGCUCUUCUCAUGUGCGCAGAAAAACAUCUGAAAGGAAGCAUCUAAACUGUUCAUGAGCUUCUCUACACACUGGGACAGAGGGGUUUGAUCUUUAUUUCCUGUCUGGGUAAUGAAGUAUGUGAGGAAAUAAUUCAGGACUAGACCAACAGGCAUUCCAUGAAAAUUAAGUCUGGCCCCUCCCUCAUCCCACAGAAUCCCUUGAGGAGAAGGGAAAUCUGAUUUUUACUCUAGACACAUCUAUGUUAGUGCCUUUUGUUCAUUUCUAAGCUUUUAUUUAUUGUGGCUGUGCUAGGUCUUCAUUGCUGCACAGGCGUCUCUCUGGCGGUGGUGAGCAGGGGCUUCUCUCCAGGGGCUGUGCGCACGCGU